rnacentral:misc_RNA from 1 species
CUGAAGACUAUUUAUUUCUAUUGGUUCCUGUUCUUCUUCCUUUUCUGCUAGUUCCAUUAUUAAUGGAGAUUCAUGUUUUACUUCUAGCAAAACUAUCCUUUCUCUUAAGGACUGUNNNNNNNNNNNUUCAGUUUUUACUGAAUUUAUUUCUUGUCUGAGUUCUUUAACAGUUGGUUCUCUUGGCAUUUUAGCUCUUUUAAUUCUUUCCAUAAUUUCUUUAAGAUCGUAUGGAUUUUCUCUUUCUUCUAUUUUCUUUUCUAAAGUUUCUAAAGGACUUUUAUCCUUUACCAGAUUCAAGUAUUCUUCUAGCUUUUCUCUUUUUUCUUCUUUACUUUCUAUCUUAUCAAUAAGAUCUAACAUCAAGUUUUG